GACGAACGCUGGCGGCGUGCUUAACACAUGCAAGUCGAACGGUGAACUCCGCUUGCGGGGGGUUCAGUGGCGAACGGGUGAGUAACACGUGGGCAACCUGCCCUCAGCUCUGGGAUAACUCCAAGAAAUUGGGGCUAAUACCGGAUAUGACCGCUGACCGCAUGGUCUGGUGGUGGAAAGAUUUAUCGGCUGUGGAUGGGCCCGCGGCCUAUCAGCUUGUUGGUGGGGUAGUGGCCUACCAAGGCGACGACGGGUAGCCGGCCUGAGAGGGUGACCGGCCACACUGGGACUGAGACACGGCCCAGACUCCUACGGGAGGCAGCAGUGGGGAAUAUUGCGCAAUGGGCGAAAGCCUGACGCAGCGACGCCGCGUGGGGGAUGACGGCCUUCGGGUUGUAAACCUCUUUCAGCAGGGACGAAGCGAAAGUGACGGUACCUGCAGAAGAAGCACCGGCCAACUACGUG
rnacentral:rRNA from 1 species